rnacentral:rRNA from 1 species
GGAAUUUCUAGUGUAGCGGUGAAAUGCGUAGAUAUUAGGAAGAACACCAUUAGCGAAGGCGUCCUACUGGGCCAUAACUGACACUCAGAGACGAAAGCUAGGGUAGCAAACGGGAUUAGAUACCCCGGUAGUCCUAGCCGUAAACGAUGGAUACUAGAUGUCGCGGGUUUACCUGCGGUGUCGUAGCUAACGCGUUAAGUAUCCCGCCUGGGAAGUACGCACGCAAGUGUGAAACUCAAAGGAAUUGACGGGGGCCCGCACAAGCGG